GUAGAUAUUUAAAACAACAGCAUAUUAAAUGAUACCAAAUGACACUGUGUGCAGGUGAUGAUGUUUUUAGGAAGCAGAAUUUGAAUGUAGACCAACUCAAAUGUUGAAGCCUACAACUAUAUCACCCAAGCUUUAAUUUAUGAUUGUUCAUGCUUUGAAAUUGUGAUGUCAGAAUUUGAUAAAUUGUGCAGUGCUAGGCUAGGUGUAGCAAAUCAUUGCUGUGUUAUCUAAUAGCACCAAACUAAUAGAGCUAUCACAUAACUGAGAAACUUGUGUAGCUUAUUACAAAUGCAUGAAACCACAUAUUACCUUAAUGAAGACAGUAAUCUUUAAUAAGGUGUAGAAAAAAAGAGAAGAAUUUUUGUUUAUAUUCCAGCUAUGAUAAACAAAGAAGUGUACUGAAUCUUUUGGACUACACAGAGUGAUGUAGUAUUGACUGUGAUGCUGAUUUGAGUUGUCUCAUUCUGUAUUUUUGUGCUUUGUCUUUUGUUACACAGAGUGAAAGAGAUCUUUGGUUUUGCCUUUGCUGACUGCUGAUCUGAUCGUCUCAAAUCUGGUGACCUUUUGCAGAAAGCCCUCUCCCUCUAUCAUUAACAAGCCAUUCAGCCUGUCCUAUCACUCUCCCUACUCUAUCUAUUUUGACAAGCCAUUCUAUCUUGUAUCACUCUAUCCCAAGAGCUCUAUCUAAUUUACCAAAAAUCAAGUUUUGA